CUAACAAAAUACGAGAUUUAUAGGCAGUAAUUGUGGAAUUAAAAGCCAAGUGAAACAAUCCAUUUUUUUAUCCUUUGACGAUUGUAUUUGACCCAAAAGAACUAAACGGCUCACGGUGUUCAAGAACUUCCCGAUAGCCAAAAGAGUUUUUAAGUACAACUUUAUAUCGUGCCGAGAACGGCGUGAAUGGAGCCCGGAGGGCGAUUCAACGGAGUGGACCUUGGAUUGUAAAAACGUUUGAUCCUCUAACUUUAAAACAAAUUCGAUUCUUUAUCAUAAGCAUACGAAAAGAUUUUACAAUGUCUAUUGAAAAAUCAGGUACUGAAAAAUUCUUUAGCAUGCCAUAUUAAAACACAGAAUAAAACGCUGCAUUUCGUCAAAACGCUCACGCUACCGUCGUCUGCUAUGGCUGUGUAAUAACAUAUUUUUGCUGUGAUAUUUUUGUAAGUUUUCUCAUUAUUUUAUGUGUUUAUAACAAAAGAUUGAAGCCCAUUUUGGAAACCAUGAUGUGCGUCUAUGAUGAAGAUUACGAGUGACAAGUUAAAUGGGUGUUUGUUACGUUUCUCUGUUUUGUGUUUCAAAGGAUUUUUCGUCAAAAAAUUUACGAUUGCUUUUUGUAUGUGGUGGUGUUUCGCCUUGUCAGCUAUGCCAGCUGCUGAACAAACAGCCUGCAUUCCUGCUAUCAAUGUACCACAAGGGAUCCUGACACUUUAAGAAGGCCACUUUUCCCCUCCAGACCUCCCAAGUGUGUCAUUCUGAUGCAGAGCUCUUGAAAUGAAGUUGAACAUUUUGAACCAUCUCAGGCCAAAGCUCAAGGUAUUAGAAAAGUGGUCGCUUUUGAUUAGAGUUUCUUUGCCGUCCGGUGCAUCAAUCGGAAUGAUGUUCACUUCCUCGACGUCAUUCCUCACGUAAUUAAUAACUUUGUGCUUCGAAAAAAGUUGUACUAAUCUUCAAAUUUUAAAAGAAAACUUUGAUGCCUUAUUCUUAUCUCGAGGUUAUAUCGACCUUCAAAGGCAAAUCGGAAGAGGGUAUUCUUUUCCUUGACAUAAAGAACGGAAAUGUUAUGCAUUAACAAGUCAUCCGCAUCCAAACAGAUGAAACGCACGAGGUAUUCCGCUUCGUCCGGCAACUUACUAUCCAGCAACGCAUCCAUCUACGCAUCCAUCAACAAAAUGUAUUAAAGAGAAAAGUAAUGACCAAAUGCCGAUUGGACGAUUUCCAUGCAAGAUGAAUGUUAAAAUCCAACGAGAUCUGGCGAGGAGGAGGCAACGGACUAUGUCAUGUCAAACCAUUAGCUGAAUACAAUGAAUACUAUCAGUUCUCCAUAACGAGAGGUUAAUAAUCAUACUGAAUCAAAAGAGGUACAUACUUGAACGAGAUUU